ensembl:misc_RNA 7SK 7SK RNA
AGAUGUGAGAGCCAUCUGGCUGAGACAUCUGCCACCUUUGUCCGUCGGUGCCGAUUCCACGGAUCUGACUGGCCAGGCAGAAGUCGCCCUCCUCCCCACGGCUCCCCCUGGAGCCUCCCCUGGGGCUGCCCACGUGGACAUGCUGGCCAGCAAACAGGAAGGCAAGCCUUGGACUUGGAUGAAGUUGUAUCAGGAAAGAGCAGUGAAU